rnacentral:rRNA from 1 species
UACGAAGGAUGCAAGCGUUAUCCGGAUUUAUUGGGUUUAAAGGGUGCGUAGGCGGACUUAUAAGUCAGUGGUGAAAUCUCGUUGCUUAACAACGAACGUGCCAUUGAUACUGUAGGUCUUGAGUACAGAUGCCGUUGGCGGAAUGUGUCAUGUAGCGGUGAAAUGCAUAGAUAUGACACAGAACACCGAUUGCGAAGGCAGCUUACUACACAACGAUUGACGCUGAGGCACGAAAGCGUGGGGAUCAAACAGG